rnacentral:rRNA from 1 species
GAUGAACGCUGGCGGCGUGCUUAACACAUGCAAGUCGAACGAAGCGCCUUAUUUGAUUUUCUUCGGAACUGAAGAUUUGGUGACUGAGUGGCGGACGGGUGAGUAACGCGUGGGUAACCUACCCUGUACAGGGGGAUAACAAUCAGAAAUGACUGCUAAUACCGCAUAAGACCACAGCACCGCAUGGUGCAGGGGUAAAAACUCCGGUGGUACAGGAUGGACCCGCGUCUGAUUAGCUGGUUGGUGAGGUAACGGCUCACCAAGGCGACGAUCAGUAGCCGGCUUGAGAGAGUGAACGGCCACAUUGGGACUGAGACACGGCCCAAACUCCUACGGGAGGCAGCAGUGGGGAAUAUUGCACAAUGGGGGGAACCCUGAUGCAGCGACGCCGCGUGAGUGAAGAAGUAUUUCGGUAUGUAAAGCUCUAUCAGCAGGGAAGAAAAUGACGGUACCUGACUAAGAAGCC